CUAGCGACUUCAGAGUUUGAUCCUGGCUCAGGAUGAACGCUAGCGGCAGGCUUAACACAUGCAAGUCGAGGGGCAGCGCGAAUGUUAGCAAUAACAUUUGGCGGCGACCGGCGCAAGGGUGCGUAACGCGUGAGCAACUUGCCCGUUUCUGGGGAAUAACCGGUGGAAACGCCGACUAAUACCCCAUAGCAUUGGAUUGAGGCAUCUUAAUCCAAUUAAAGAAUUUCGGAAACGGAUAGGCUCGCGUGACAUUAGCUAGAUGGCGGGGUAACGGCCCACCAUGGCGACGAUGUCUAGGGGUUCUGAGAGGAAGGUCCCCCACACUGGAACUGAGACACGGUCCAG
rnacentral:rRNA from 1 species